GUGGGGAAUUUUGGACAAUGGGGGCAACCCUGAUCCAGCCAUCCCGCGUGUGCGAUGAAGGCCUUCGGGUUGUAAAGCACUUUUGGCAGGGAAGAAAAGUUUCGGGCUAAUACCCUGGAGCGAUGACGGUACCUGCAGAAUAAGCACCGGCUAACUACGUGCCAGCAGCCGCGGUAAUACGUAGGGUGCAAGCGUUAAUCGGAAUUACUGGGCGUAAAGCGUGCGCAGGCGGUUCGGAAAGAAAGAUGUGAAAUCCCAGGGCUUAACCUUGGAACUGCAUUGUUAACUGUCGAACUCGAGUAUGUCAGAGGGGGGUAGAAUUCCACGUGUAGCAGUGAAAUGCGUAGAGAUGUGGAGGAAUACCGAUGGCGAAGGCAGCCCCCUGGGAUAAUACUGACGCUCAUGCACGAAAGCGUGGGGAGCAAACAGGAUUAGAAACCCUGGUAGUCC
rnacentral:rRNA from 1 species